rnacentral:misc_RNA from 1 species
CCUCAUCGUGGUUAACGAUGGAGUCAGUGAGGCUCCGUUUAGUGUUUGAUCACAUUCUAAGCAAAUCGCACAAGACACAGGGUCUCAGACGAUGCUGGAUUCUCCUAAAACCCCAACUCCAAACCAUCUCCGAUCUCUCUUCCUAUCUCCUCAAUGCCUUCGACCUCCAAAACGAAUGCCCUAGCGGUCUUAUCCUUUCAAUGGAAGAGUUUGCUUUACCACCUUUCGAGUCAACUUCUAUUUUGAAAGACAAGGAUAUCAUCCGAGUGGAAAAGAAUGGUGGGUUGUCUUCUGAAGUUGUGAUGGUUGGUGAGGAGGCUAAUUCUUUGGAGGUGGUUGAGAUUGUGGAAACUCAGCCUGUAAUUUCUGGCAUGAAUCUUCUGGCAAAUGAGGAAUUUGAGAAGGAAUCUGGAGGCUACGAAAGUGAAGAAGAAGAGGACGCACCAGAACAGGUGGAAGACGCAGUGCAGGUGGAAAAUGCGUCAGAAGUGAAAAAAGUUUCCAAAAAGAGAAAGGCACCAGAGGAACUUAAGAGUUCAAAGAGGAAGAAAACUAAAUCUGCUAGUGGUGAAAAGGGUGCAGUUGUUGUGGAUGANUGAUAUUGGAAAGAAGGUUUGUGGGGAGCAGAAUGGAACUUCCAGCACUGCCAAGGUUGAUGAAAGGAGUGAGAACAGUAAAGCUUUACGCAAUGGAAAGAGGAUCUCUCAGCCUCAACAGAAUGGCAAUGGAACUGUUGAUGCAACCCCAACUCCUAGUGGAACUAAAAAGUUGCCAAGUAGAAGUGCUCGGCGGAAAAAGGCCAAGAGGCAAUGGUUGAGGGAAAAACUGAAAGCUGAAAGGAAGGAGCAACUUCGGAGGCAACCACUCGAAAAAAGUGAUCAACGGUCAUCUGAAAAGGAUAACCGGGGAGUCUCUCGAGAAUCAGCUGAAAAAGGGAAUCAAGAAGUUUCUGACGAAGUAUCUGAAACAGAUAAUGAAAAACUCCAGGAAGACCAUCAACAGCUAGAUCAAGAUAGCGAUGUAGAGGAUGAAGUUGUUCCCAUAGUAAUAAGGCCAGGACAUAUCCGCUUUGAGCCGCUAAGGAAAGUGGACGCUGAUCAGGCUGCACAGCAAAAUCAAAUACCUUUGGAGACCUUUCAGUGGAAUGGAACAAGAAGCAAGAAGAAGGGUCAAAAAUGGGGUAAAGAAAAAGUUACAUCUUACAAAAGGAAUGACUACAAAAAUGUCAAUCAAGAGUGUUCCAGGACUCGAAGUUAUGGAGCAAGACCUGUAUUCAGUCGUAUCGACUUUGAGAAGCUUGAAUUCUAUGCUAGCUUGCCUAAGGAAGGCGAUGUGAUUGCUUAUCGUUUGAUUGAAUUAUCAUCAUCCUGGACCCCUGAACUUUCACCCUACCGAGUUGGGAAGAUAUCACGAUAUGACAUUGAGUCCAAUAGGGUUCAGCUGGUGCCAGUCCCAGAAUAUCCAAUAAUUCCUGCAAAUGAGAUGGAUGACGAUGCAUCUGCUGUACUAUCAGAAACAUCCUCUUAUGCAAGAGAUGGUUCAUUAUGGAUAGAGUUCUCAUCACUCGUGGAAGUUCGUAUUGUCACCCCAGGCAGCUUAAAUUCAGGGAAGUCAACUGCUGGAGUCUGUGUCAGAGAUCAAGAUACUGAAACAGGCUACAAGCCUUACAAUGGCAAUGAAGCUCAUGCUUCUGCCCAAGAAAAUGGAGAAGUAAAUCCAUGGGAAGAAAUUAACCAGGCUUUAAAUGCAAAGAAGGAACAGCUAUCACAAGAGGACAACUGGAACAAGACCCAGAGUUCAGGCAGGAGACCGUGGUCCUACAAGGCCUUGAGAGGCAGUGCGCUGGGUCCAACAAUGGCUUUAUUAAGGUCGCAAAAUGAACUAUGAGCAUUUUGUUUUGGAAAAUUACCAUCGAGUUUUCACUUGUUAGGGUUUUGUGAGCCUUUCAAGGUCCCAAUUUUUGCUGUCAUGUUUGUAGUGAAAAGAAGUGGGGCGUUUUUGAUGACUUAGCUUUUGUAUAUUGCUGUUAAGACUACCCUUUUUCACCAUGUAUCCUAGUAAAUC